rnacentral:rRNA from 1 species
GACGAACGCUGGCGGCGUGCUUAACACAUGCAAGUCGAACGAGAAUCUACUGAAAGAGUUUUCGGACAAUGGAUGUAGAGGAAAGUGGCGGACGGGUGAGUAACGCGUGAGGAACCUGCCUUGAAGAGGGGGACAACAGUUGGAAACGACUGCUAAUACCGCAUGACGCAUAGAGGUCGCAUGAUCUUUAUGCCAAAGAUUUAUCGCUGAAAGAUGGCCUCGCGUCUGAUUAGCUAGUUGGCAGGGUAACGGCCUACCAAGGCGACGAUCAGUAGCCGACCUGAGAGGGUGACCGGCCACAUUGGGACUGAGACACGGCCCAAACUCCUACGGGAGGCAGCAGUGGGGAAUAUUGCACAAUGGGGGAAACCCUGAUGCAGCGACGCCGCGUGAGCGAAGAAGUAUUUCGGUAUGUAAAGCUCUAUCAGCAGGGAAGAAGAAAUGACGGUACCUGACUAAGAAGCACCGGCU